GCUUGGGCUCACGUUGGUCAGAGCUUUUGCUUCAUGCUUGGGAGAAAAUGUAGCUGUGAAGAGUUUCCUUGGAACCGUGGAUUGUCAUUGCCACUGGAAUUCUAUGGCUGUUGUGUGCACUUAACUGGUACCAUUUUAUUGAGGGAAGAGAGUUUAAUAUGCACAGCUGUGAGGGAAGAAGACCACAGACUGCAAACCUUUCACAAAGGAUUCAGGAAUUGUAUUGCUUGAGGGAAUGCUGAUCAUGAACAUCACUGAGGAACAAGUGUAAGCUUGGAAACAGCAUCUCCCUGUGAACUGCUGCUGUGAUCCCCAGGGACUCAGAACUGGGUGAGGGAACCUGGAAGUCCCCCUUGCCUGCCAGCACGGAGGAGGUGCCAGCACCCCCACACUGUCCAUGUCAUCAUCCUGUGGGGCAGAGGCUUUGUCCUGGAGAGCCAAGGCUCAGCUGCAGCAGUGGGGCAGGGUCACUGCUCCCAUGAGCCCCCUUUCAGCACAAGCCUUGCAUAUAUUUGAGGUCUUUCAGAAAGCAUUUAUCUCACGUUGCUUCUGAGCAGCAGAAGAAGAAACCUGGAGGUGAACUGAUGGAGUGCAAGCGAAGACCCUGACAGAGUGUGCCCAUCUCCUGCUUCUCCUCCUCUUGCUGCACACUCUGCAUCAGGACAGUUUUAUCUUAAAUUUUCAUUUAAAAUUCAGAUGAGCACAAGCUGUGUUUGACACCUGUCACUGGCUCUGGGUAAUACCACACUUGACAAGUAGCCCCGUUACACUCCGUGUCUGUUCUUUGUGCAGGUUUGCCAUGGCAAGUGCCAUCCUGUGGUGGAAGAGCCGCCACAUGGUCCUCAGGAAAUGACCUUAUUUUGUAUUGGCACAGCAGAACAGAACACUUCCCUUCAUCUUUUCUGUUUCUGUUGUUAACUGAUUCCUGGGAGUUUGGACUGAAUGCUGAGCAGUCAAUAUUUAUGAAAUGUAAUGGCCAAGACUAAACACAUUCAUUAGCAUGUUUAUUUUUAUUGAGUGGCUGCUUUGUGGGCCUGAGGAAAUGAUUGCAUUGCAUCUGUUUGAACUGCUGCGCACAGAUUUAGGACCAGCACUUUCAUUCUCACAUCACUGUGGAUUGGAAUUGAGGUAGAAAGGAUUUGCAUUUCCCCCACCCCCAGGGCAGAAGCAGUCUGUGAGGAGUGGAAGUCACCACUCAGGGGAGGUCUGAGGAGCUCUUGUCACAGGGUGAUGGGGACACGGGGAUGUGAUGGACGCAUUCCCCAGUGAGCGGUGUCAUGGUACCGAGCACCUGGUCAAUGCCAGUGGGCAGUUACCUUCACCCGUCUGAUUUCAUUCAGAAAGAGCCCUGUGUGUCUGCUUCUCCCUGAUGUGUGUUUUCAUGCUGAGCUGGAGGCAAACAUUUACAGCUGCAGAAAGUAAACUGAGCAUCCUGAUGUCUCCUCUCAGGCCAUCUGUAGGAUGUUGUGUCCCAUUGCACUGACCUCCAGGCAUGAGCAGCGUCCCUUUAACUGCUCAAAACCCGAGGCAGCUCCGUGCGGGGGAAGCGGCCAUGCUGUGUCUAUGGAAGAGCUCGGAGCUGUCCAUGUGUGUCUGCAAAGUGACAUUUCUUGAUAGAGGGGACUUUGGUUCUCUCCCCCCAAUAAAAGAAUAAGAUUCCUGAGCA
rnacentral:lncRNA from 14 species